GGAGGUUUUUUUUUCACGGGUACGAUGGUGUGUACAUGGUUGAUUGACAGCGUUUAGUUUGAGAGUGCGCAGGUGUGGGAAAGGGCAAUGGCAGUGAUCUGAAGGUGCGGAUCAUAGUGAAAAGAGAGCAGGUGUUCCAGUGUGUCUGUGCCACGCAGACGAACUGUAGGCUGUUCCCAGAUACUGAAAACAAUGCCGUGGUGAUCAGCUUUCAGGAAGGGCCAGUGGUUUGUGGUGAUGUUAAGGUCAUGUUUGAAUCCAGGGCUGGUCUUCCAAAGGGGUAUGAGGACUAUCCUUUCUAUUUCUGGUUCAACACUUCAUUUGUAGAGAACAACAGGCUCUAUCUGUCAAGGGAGGAACUGGACAACCCACGUAAGUCCAAAACCUGGGACAUCUACAAGGAGGACUUUGGUGUGACCGUGUCUUUCAGUGACCCUGCACUUAUGUAGCAGACGACACUUGCUUGUGUAUC